rnacentral:rRNA from 1 species
AGAGUUUGAUCCUGGCUCAGAACGAACGCUUGCGGCGUGCUUAACACAUGCAAGUCGAACGAGAAAGGGGACUUCGGUUCCUGAGUAAAGUGGCGCACGGGUGAGUAACGCGUAGGUAAUCUACCCUAGUGUACGGGACAACAUCGGGAAACUGGUGCUAAUACCGAAUACGCUUCUUUAGAUGCGAAUUUAGAGAAGGAAAGGUGGCCUCUUCAUGAAAGCUACUGCACAAGGAUGAGCCUGCGUACCAUUAGCUAGUUGGUGGGGUAAUGGCCUACCAAGGCUUCGAUGGUUAGCGGGUCUGAGAGGAUGAUCCGCCACACUGGCACCGGAACACGGGCCAGACUCCUACGGGAGGCAGCAGUGAGGAAUUUUGCACAAUGGGGGAAACCCUGAUGCAGCGACGCCGCGUGAGUGAUGAAGGCCCUUGGGUCGUAAAGCUCUGUCAAUAGGGAAGAAGUGUCUAAUGGAUAAUACCCGUUAGAUUUGACGGUACCUAUAAAGGAAGCACCGGCUAAAUCCGUGCCAGCAGCCGCGGUAAUACGGAUGGUGCGAGCGUUGUUCGGAAUUACUGGGCGUAAAGGGCGCGUAGGCGGCCUGUCAAGUCAGAUGUGAAAGCCCACGGCUCAACCGUGGAAGUGCAUCUGAAACUGGCAGGCUUGAGUACUGGAGAGGAAAGUGGAAUUCCUGGUGUAGAGGUGAAAUUCGUAGAUAUCAGGAGGAAUACCGGUGGCGAAGGCGACUUUCUGGACAGAUACUGACGCUGAGGCGCGAAAGCGUGGGGAGCAAACAGGAUUAGAUACCCUGGUAGUCCACAGCUGUAAACGAUGUGCACUAGGUGUAGGGGGUCGUUGACCCUUUCUGUGCCGUAGCUAACGCAUUAAGUGCACCGCCUGGGGAGUACGGUCGCAAGAUUAAAACUCAAAGGAAUUGACGGGGG